rnacentral:tRNA from 7 species
GGCACUUUGGCGGAGUGGUUAACGCGCGGGCCUGCUAAGCCCGUUCCUUCGGGAGCGUGAGUUCGAAUCUCACAGGUGUCG